rnacentral:lncRNA from 1 species
AGACAGAUAAUUGUAGAACAUUGAAUCAACCUACAUAUUUGGUUCCACAUGGAAGAUCCAAUUGUGCAUGAUACUAGGCAAGUCACCCAGGAAUUACACAUGCCUACAACAGGUAUUCUACACAAACCACAAUACAAUUAUCCCCUACCACACAACCGAUUAACAAUUUUACACCCAAAUGAACUUAAAGCCAAACCGCUACACAAGAAAUUCAUUCAAAAUGCAGGUAGGUAAUCAUACUAGGGUAACGAAGGAUUUCAACUGGUCAGGACAUUUCAACUCAGGCAAAAUACAGGUCUUAAGCAGGAUAAAAGGGGUUCCAUAAUCAGCAAAAUAUGACGGUAUCCCAGGUAGGCUACAAGCAGUAAUAAUAAUAAUAUCUUUCAACACAAGCGAAAUCUUAAAACUGGCAUCCCGGAGUCACUUGCUAGCAUGCAAAAACAACGAGACAUCAUAAACCCUAGGUACCCUAGACCCUUCUCCCGUCGGCAGCAACGGGUGUCAUCGCCGUCAUCCCCGGAUUAGAAUCCGAGCUUGGUGCGGCGCCAGUGCCUGCGCUUGGCGUUGUACCUGAGACAACAACGAAACGGCUUAGCGGCGCCGUCUCCUCUCCAUAGAUCCAUUACUAGCAAGCACUGGCAGCUAACGGCGGGCGAACCGGUGGAGAAGGUCUGGCGGCGGAAGUUACCUGAUGGUGUUGUCGGUCCUCAUGCGGAUCCAGUAGGGGAUGGGGCGGUUCUGGCGCUGCUUCUUGGCCAGCUUCUGCUUGAUCCGGAAGGUCUUGUGCGACGGCUGCGGCAGAU